UGAGACUGCCGGUGACAAACCGGAGGAAGUGGGGAUGACGUCAAGUCCUCAUGGCCCUUAUGGGUAGGGCUUCACACGUCAUACAAUGGUCGGUACAGAGGGUUGCCAAGCCGCGAGGCGGAGCCAAUCCCACAAAGCCGAUCGUAGUCCGGAUUGUUCUCUGCAACUCGAGAGCAUGAAGUCGGAAUCGCUAGUAAUCGCAGGUCAGCAUACUGCGGUGAAUACGUUCCCGGGUCUU
rnacentral:rRNA from 1 species